rnacentral:misc_RNA from 1 species
ACCGGCAAUAUACCCAGAGUGCUAAGUAAGAGGUGCAGAGAUUACGAACUCGGUACAUGUAACGAAUCACAUAGUGCACUUGGCGCUUGAAAUAUUCAUCUCAAACCACCGCGUGAGAUUUAUCGAGAUUUUAACCCUCGGUAAAAUUCGAGGGAUGAACAGUCGUGUUGUUGUACAAUCGAAAUUUUCCUAUAUAUAUAUAUACUUCAAUCUGUUGAGAGAAAAAAAAAAACAACAAUCUUUCAGACCGGAAGUUUCGGAGCACCCUCCAUAUAAGCGAAGGAUCAACCCACGUUUAUGUAAUUGGGCAUUUACUCCGUAUACGUAUUUUAUGUACGCCGCGUACAACCGCGAUGUUGGGCUAGCUGCACGCUGAGCACUCACGGGUGAACC